rnacentral:rRNA from 1 species
AUUGAACGCUGGCGGCAGGCUUAACACAUGCAAGUCGAGCGGGGGAAGGUAGCUUGCUACUGGACCUAGCGGCGGACGGGUGAGUAAUGCUUAGGAAUCUGCCUAUUAGUGGGGGACAACAUCUCGAAAGGGAUGCUAAUACCGCAUACGUCCUACGGGAGAAAGCAGGGGAUCUUCGGACCUUGCGCUAAUAGAUGAGCCUAAGUCGGAUUAGCUAGUUGGUGGGGUAAGGGCCUACCAAGGCUACGCUCUGUAGCGGGUCUGAGAGGAUGAGCCGCCACACUGGGACUGACACACGGCCCAGACUCCUGCCGGAGGCAGCAGUGGGGAAUAUUCGACAAUGGGCGCAAGCCUGAUCCAGCCAUGCCGCGUGCGUGAAGAAGGCCUUAUGGUUGUAAAGCACUUUAAGCGAGGAGGAGGCUACUUUAGAUAAUACCUAGAGAUAGUGGACGUUACUCGCAGAAUAAGCACCGGCUAACUCUGUGCCAGCCGCCGCAGUAA